rnacentral:rRNA from 1 species
UACGGAGGGUGCAAGCGUGUCCGGAAUCACUGGGCGUAAAGGGCGCGUAGGCGGCUCAUGAAGGCUGUGGUGAAAGUCCGGGGCUCAACCUCGGAUCGGCCGUGGCGACUCGUGGGCUGGAGCACUGUAGAGGCGGGUGGAAUUCCGGGUGUAGCGGUGGAAUGCGUAGAGAUCCGGAAGAACACCAGUGGCGAAGGCGGCCCGCUGGGCAGUGGCUGACGCUGAGGCGCGACAGCGUGGGGAGCAAACGAGG